rnacentral:rRNA from 1 species
UACGGAGGGGGCUAGCGUUGUUCGGAAUUACUGGGCGUAAAGCGCACGUAGGCGGCUUUGUAAGUUAGAGGUGAAAGCCCGGGGCUCAACUCCGGAAUUGCCUUUAAGACUGCAUCGCUAGAAUUGUGGAGAGGUAAGUGGAAUUCCGAGUGUAGAGGUGAAAUUCGUAGAUAUUCGGAAGAACACCAGUGGCGAAGGCGACUUACUGGUCUGCGACUGACGCUGUGGCGCGAAAGCUAGGGGAGCAAACGGG